rnacentral:lncRNA from 1 species
UGAAUAAACAUUUUAUCUGUGUGUAAUAAUGUUGUUUUUAUUUUGUGGUAAAUGUUUAUUUUAUUUCAUGAUUAGAAGCUUUUUUUUUAAUGUAUGAAUAAAACAGUAUCUGGGUGUACCUAUUUUUUUAUGAUUAGUUUAGUUAGUAUUAUAUGAUGUUAUGCUUUGUUAUGAAUGAUUCAGUACCAGGUGUACUUUUUGUGUUUUAUAAAUGUUAUUGUAGUUGUAUUUGUUGUAUUAUCACAUGUUUUAUUUAAAUGGUUAAAGGAAAGUAUUAAUGUGUCAAACAUGUGGGGAGGGAGAGAUAACUUUGUUUUUCACGGGGGGGGUGAUUCUUUUAGUAAUGUAAAAAUCUGAAUUUUUUUUUACUUAUUCAAUUUUGAUUACUUAUUUUUUUAACAAUAAAUAAAUAUAAAAAGCAUAACCCAUGUUUUUUUUCUCUAUCGCUUAUUUCUUAUUAAAAUAUUCUAACAUAUUUAUUUAUCUUUACACGACUUAGUUAUUUUCUUCAUUUUUUUUUCUU